GCGGGCGUAGCUCAGCUGGCAGAGCUCCUGCCUUCCAAGCAGGUUGUCACGCGUUCGAAUCGCGCCGCCCGCU
rnacentral:tRNA from 1 species